GAUCGCUUGGCUUUCAUGACGGUUGUCCUCAAUAGAUUGUCAUUCCAUUUUGAGGGGAAUUUCUUGAUUUCGUCCAGAGCUACCAUGCAUUGGCAAAGAUCUUUUAAGACCCUUGGCAAAGGAACUCUCCAACCAUAAGAUACCAUACAGGUGGGACACACCCCAAUGUCUGAUCAUACCCAGAGACACUGGUGCAGUACGAGUCAGUGAGGCUUCAGAGA